rnacentral:rRNA from 1 species
UACGGGGGGGGCAAGCGUUGUCCGGAAUCACUGGGCUUAAAGCGUGUGUAGGUGGAUGCCUAAGUACCUUGUGAAAUCCCACGGCUUAACCGUGGAACUGCUUGGUAUACUGGGUGUCUUGAGCCAGCUAGGGGCUACCGGAACAAAUGGUGGAGCGGUGAAAUGCGCAGAUAUCAGGAGGAACACCAGUGGCGAAGGCGGUGCUCUGGGCCGGAACUGACGCUGAGGAGCGAAAGCGUGGGGAGCAAACGGG